GAAUUUUAUUCUGGGUUCAGGAGGAACGCUAGGAACAGGGCUAACCCCAUGCAAGUCGAGGGGCAUCGGGAGGGAAGCUUGCUUUCCUGCCCGGCGACCGGCGCACGGGGGAGUAACACGUAUGCAACCUGCCCUCUUCAGGGGGACAACCCUCCGAAAGGGAGGCUAAUCCCGCGUAUAUCGGUNUCGGGCAUCCGAGAUCGAGGAAAGAUUCAUCGGAAGAGGAUGGGCAUGCGGCGCAUUAGCUAGACGGCGGGGUAACGGCCCACCGUGGCGACGAUGCGUAGGGGUUCUGAGAGGAAGGUCCCCCACACUGGUACUGAGACACGGACCAGACUCCUACGGGAGGCAGCAGUGAGGAAUAUUGGUCAAUGGGAGAGAUCCUGAACCAGCCAAGCCGCGUGAGGGAAGACGGCCCUAUGGGUUGUAAACCUCUUUUGUCGGAGAACAAAACCCGGGACGAGUCCCGGACUGCGUGUAUCCGAAGAAAAAGCAUCGGCUAACUCCGUGCCAGCAGCCGCGGUAAUACGGAGGAUGCGAGCGUUAUCCGGAUUUAUUGGGUUUAAAGGGUGCGUAGGCGGUCCGUUAAGUCAGCGGUAAAAUUGCGGGGCUCAACCCCGUCGAGCCGUUGAAACUGGCAGACUUGAGUUGGCGAGAAGUACGCGGAAUGCGCGGUGUAGCGGUGAAAUGCAUAGAUAUCGCGCAGAACUCCGAUUGCGAAGGCAGCGUACCGGCGCCACACUGACGCUGAGGCACGAAAGCGUGGGGAUCGAACAGGAUUAGAUACCCUGGUAGUCCACGCAGUAAACGAUGAAUGCUAUCUGUCCGGCCGGAAUGACGGCUGGGUGGCACAGCGAAAGCGAUAAGCAUUCCACCUGGGGAGUACGCCGGCAACGGUGAAACUCAAAGGAAUUGACGGGGGCCCGCACAAGCGGAGGAACAUGUGGUUUAAUUCGAUGAUACGCGAGGAACCUUACCCGGGCUCAAACGGGAGUGGAAUGGACCAGAGACGGUUCAGCCUACGGGCCGCUUCCGAGGUGCUGCAUGGUUGUCGUCAGCUCGUGCCGUGAGGUGUCGGCUUAAGUGCCAUAACGAGCGCAACCCCCGCCGGCAGUUGCUAACGGGCAAUGCCGAGGACUCUGCCGGGACUGCCGCCGCAAGGCGUGAGGAAGGCGGGGAUGACGUCAAAUCAGCACGGCCCUUACGUCCGGGGCGACACACGUGUUACAAUGGGCGGUACAGCGGGAAGCCAGGCGGCGACGCCGAGCGGAACCCGAAAGCCGUUCUCAGUUCGGAUCGGAGUCUGCAACCCGACUCCGUGAAGCUGGAUUCGCUAGUAAUCGCGCAUCAGCCAUGG
rnacentral:rRNA from 1 species